rnacentral:rRNA from 1 species
UACGUAGGGUGCGAGCGUUAAUCGGAAUUACUGGGCGUAAAGGGUGCGCAGGCGGCUGAUCAAGUCGAGUGUGAAAGCCCCGAGCUUAACUUGGGAAUUGCGCUCGAAACUACUUUGCUGGAGUGUGGCAGAGGAAGGUGGAAUUCCACGUGUAGCGGUGAAAUGCGUAGAGAUGUGGAGGAACACCAAUGGCGAAGGCAGCCUUCUGGGCCAACACUGACGCUCAUGCACGAAAGCGUGGGGAGCAAACAGG